rnacentral:rRNA from 1 species
UACGUAGGGUGCAAGCGUUGUUCGGAAUUACUGGGCGUAAAGGCUCGUAGGCGGCCAACUAAGUCAGACGUGAAAUCCCUCGGCUUAACCGGGGAACUGCAUCUGAUACUGGAUGGCUUGAGUUCGGGAGAGGGAUGCGGAAUUCCUGGUGUAGCGGUGAAAUGCGCAGAUAUCAGGAAGAACACCCGUGGCGAAGGCGGCUCUCUGGGACGGUACUGACGCUGAGACGCGAAAGCGUGGGGAGCGAACAGG